GGGUGUUCCUGAUCUUUGAGCCAUGAUAAUGUUACUGGUUGGAUGUCAGGAGCAGGCCAUGUGGAUGAUUAAAAGAUGAAUAUCAUAUACAGCAUGGAUAUGUUGGACAAAAAGAUGAUUCACAUCCCAGACAGAAUGGAGCAGCACAUUUAUUAAAAGCCAGAAGCUAGAAGACGAGGAAAGAAGAGGUGGUUAAAGAAAGAUACAGUAACAGCAGUAAUAUCUAACAGGAAGGCUACAGGGGAAAAUACAGAAAUUCCAUAAAGAACAAACACUGUAACUCAAAACCAAAGCUUUGCUAGUCACUAGUGCCCGCUACAUCCUAACAGAGUUGUUAUGUAAAACCUCCCAGCGAAAGAAAUAGUCCAGAAAGCUUGAAGAGAAACUGAAAUUUGAAAAAUCUACCUAAAAAGUUGUUCUUCCAGAUGGCAUGAAUCCAACAGUGAAGAAAUCAGAAUACGUUGCUUUUGUGAGGGGCAGCUGCUGAUUUUCUCUGAGCUCCGUUUCCAGCCUUCACAUGCUCUGCUAUUCAUCACAGGGUAAAUUCUGACUAUAGGAGGUACUGACAGAAGAUUAGGGAAGAACAGAGGGCUAAAUGUUUAUUGACUUCUUGAAAAAUGCUAUGUGUCUUGCCAGACUUAGCUUACAAGUUUGGUUAAAGAGAGACUGACAUGAGCAUAAAGGAAGGGACAUUGAAAGAGGCAGAGAUGAAGGAAGAAAUUGUAACUUACUCCUUUUAUCCCACCCAUCAAAGGAAAGACAAGUUGACAAGUAUUGAUUCUGCAACAAACUGAGAAGAAACCUGGCGAUUCACAACAGAGAGCUGAGAAAUCCUAAGUCUGGAUUCCAGCUAAAUGGGAGCAGACUAAAUAGAGCGGCAGUCGGCGAACUACAUGUAGCCCAUGAACAAAAUCCGGUCCAGCACGUGUGUUUUUUUUUACGGCCCACAAAUGAGUCUGUCUUUACAGAUGAAUGUUAAAACUGGGUUGACAAGAGAGAACACUCACUUUGAACCGCAACUAAACAAAAUAUUAUCACCUUUCCCCUCAAAAAAGGUUUUUGUUCUUCUCAUUAGUAAAUUUGUAUUAUGACAAAA
rnacentral:lncRNA from 1 species